rnacentral:rRNA from 1 species
GACGAACGCUGGCGGCGUGCCUAAUACAUGCAAGUAGAACGCUGAAGGAGGAGCUUGCUUCUCUGGAUGAGUUGCGAACGGGUGAGUAACGCGUAGGUAGCCUGCCUGGUAGCGGGGGAUAACUAUUGGAAACGAUAGCUAAUACCGCAUAAGAGUAGAUGUUGCAUGACAUUUACUUAAAAGGUGCAAUUGCAUCACUACCAGAUGGACCUGCGUUGUAUUAGCUAGUUGGUGAGGUAACGGCUCACCAAGGCAACGAUACAUAGCCGACCUGAGAGGGUGAUCGGCCACACUGGGACUGAGACACGGCCCAGACUCCUACGGGAGGCAGCAGUAGGGAAUCUUCGGCAAUGGACGGAAGUCUGACCGAGCAACGCCGCGUGAGUGAAGAAGGUUUUCGGAUCGUAAAGCUCUGUUGUAAGAGAAGAACGAGUGUGAGAGUGGAAAGUUCACACUGUGACGGUAUCUUACCAGAAAGGGACGGCUAACUACGUG